rnacentral:rRNA from 1 species
GUACACUCCUGCGGGAGGCAGCAGUGGGGAAUAUUGGACAAUGGGCGCAAGCCUGAUCCAGCCAUGCCGCGUGAGUGAUGAAGGCCCUAGGGUUGUAAAGCUCUUUCACCGGUGAAGAUAAUGACGGUAACCGGAGAAGAAGCCCCGGCUAACUUCGUGCCAGCAGCCGCGGUAAUACGAAGGGGGCUAGCGUUGUUCGGAUUUACUGGGCGUAAAGCGCACGUAGGCGGACUAUUAAGUCAGGGGUGAAAUCCCGGGGCUCAACCCCGGAACUGCCUUUGAUACUGGUAGUCUUGAGUUCGAGAGAGGUGAGUGGAAUUCCGAGUGUAGAGGUGAAAUUCGUAGAUAUUCGGAGGAACACCAGUGGCGAAGGCGGCUCACUGGCUCGAUACUGACGCUGAGGUGCGAAAGCGUGGGGAGCAAACAGGAUUAGAUACCCUAGUAGUCCC